rnacentral:rRNA from 1 species
AGAGUUGACUCCUGGCUCAGGACGAACGCUGGCGGCGUGCUUAACACAUGCAAGUCGAGCGGGGAUAUGUUGGAUGAGAGCUUCGGCAGGAUUCCGGUAUAUUCUAGCGGCGGACGGGUGAGUAACGCGUGAACAAUCUGUCCCGGACAGGGGGAUAACACUUGGAAACAGGUGCUAAUACCGCAUGAGACCACAGCAUCGCAUGGUGCAGGGGUAAAAGGAGGAAUCCGGUUCGGGGUGAGUUCGCGUCCGAUUAGAUAGUUGGUGAGGUAACGGCCCACCAAGUCGACGAUCGGUAGCCGACCUGAGAGGGUGAUCGGCCACAUUGGAACUGAGAGACGGUCCAAACUCCUACGGGAGGCAGCAGUGGGGAAUAUUGGGCAAUGGGCGAAAGCCUGACCCAGCAACGCCGCGUGAGUGAAGAAGGCUUUCGGGUUGUAAAGCUCUGUUAUGGAGGACGAAGGAAGUGACGGUACUCCAUAAGGAAGCCCCGGCUAACUACGUGCC